rnacentral:lncRNA from 1 species
UUGUGCGAGAGGAAGAAAAACGGUAGGAGAGGGGAGUAGAGGGAGGGGGGAGGCCCGACACGAGUUGACACGAGCACGCGACCAACAAAAAACUCCGACCGAGUGCUCCUACUCUUAAUUAUCUUGUUAGUCGUUCCCACCACUCCUCCGAGCCAGCCAUCCAAUUCUCUCCUCUUUCACGCUCGAAACCGAGAUCCAUUUCCAAUCGAGAGAUCGAUCUCUUUCCCUUUUAUAUGUAUCGAUAACAUUGCUCGCUCGGUACAUCAUUUUUUACACGGAAGGAAUUUUAAUUAUCGACGAACAAUUUUUCGUAUAUUUUCGUAUACACGGAGAAAUUAUACAGGAGAAGAACGAGGAAAGAGAAUUUUAACCGAUGAGCGAGCAAUAUGGGUAUUCCGUCGUCUUUUAAAACGCGUAACAACAAGGUCCGCAUGUCGAAAUAGCCGCGUUAUUAAACGAUUGCCUCAAUUCAAAGGCAAAUUAACGGACAACGGGCUUAAGUCGACUGCUUGCUAACAUGCAAACGGCCCCGUCCAAUUGAGGACCACCCAAACUGCCCCUUUUAUCUCGAGACGAUUCGUAUCCCGAUCCUAUUCAUCGACCGUUCCAGAAUGAGCGGCCACUUGGCAACCGGGCCAUUCCCUCUCUCACUCCCUCUUCCUCUUUCUCCCUCUCACUCUCUCUCUCUUUCUUUCUUUCCGAUUUAGAAACACGAGUCGAGCCGUUUAUGCGAUAUUUCGAAUUGUUUUCGAUACGUGCAUUUCGAUUAAAAGAUUUUGUAGAUGAUCAUAGUGAUAUAAAGAGAUUUCAGAAUUAUAUAUUAAUACCAAAUUUUAUACAUUUAGAUCGGAAUAAAUGUAUCUCAGUUUAAUUGUAAUCGUUACGAAAAAGUCCUUUCGAUUAGAGAAGACGAGUGGAGGGGGAAAAGUGGAAAGUGCUGCUAAGACGGCGGCAACCGUAAGGCGCGUUACGAUUAUGAGGGUGUUUAACGCGCGUUCGCUCGUCUCGAAUUAUUCUCACGAGGUCGACAAACCUUCCCCGGGAAUGGUUGGUUUAAUUAAAAGUGCCACGCAUGCGGGAUCGACCUAAAAACGAUCGACACACUUGGACAUCUUGGACGACGAAUAAAUAUGCAAACUGGGCACAUAGAGGAGGUAAUUAGUCGAUGGUUCAUCAGUCACUCUGGCACAUAAGAGCCGUGCAUCCCUGACGCAUCGUUCCGAAGCAAAAAAGUGUUGAUCCUUUCCUUGAGAGCAGCAACGACCCGCAGGAUGCAUUAAGGAACUAAUGAAACGUCGGAUCGGAACGUAUCCUCCUUGAGAGAAUCUUCUGGAGGAAGGAGGUUUCUGGAGAAGAAAAGGAUGCCGAGUGUGACGAUCUCUGUCGAUAGUUAAUCGCCUUGCUCGAGGUGGAUCGAUUAUUCAAAUUCAUUGUCUCGAUACACGGCCCUUUAUAGGUGGUAAUUGGCGUUUCAACGAGAUGCACCUGAAAAGCAAUUAGUACGAAAAAAAAAAAUUAAAAAUACGUUAAAGAAUUAAGUGUUUUUGUUUUCCUUCUUUUCAAAUAAAAAUAAAUCUCCUUCGA